GAUGAACGCUGGCGGCGUGCUUAACACGUGCAAGUCGAACGAUGAAGCCGGAGCUUGCUCUGGUGAAUUAGUGGCGAACGGGUGAGUAACACGUGAGUAACCUGCCCUUGACUCUGGGAUAACUGCUAGAAAUGGUAGCUAAUACCGGAUACGACCCUCGGAGGCAUCUCCAGGGGGUGGAAAGAAUUUCGGUCAAGGAUGGACUCGCGGCCUAUCAGCUAGUUGGUGAGGUAACGGCUCACCAAGGCGACGACGGGUAGCCGGCCUGAGAGGGUGACCGGCCACACUGGGACUGAGACACGGCCCAGACUCCUACGGGAGGCAGCAGUGGGGAGUAUUGCACAAUGGGCGCAAGCCUGAUGCAGCAACGCCGCGUGAGGGAUGACGGCCUUCGGGUUGUAAACCUCUUUUAGUAGGGAAGAAGCGAAAGUGACGGUACCUGCAGAAAAAGCACCGGCUAACUACGUGCCAGCCGCCGCAGUAA
rnacentral:rRNA from 1 species